UGCCCUGUCCGUGUUGCUUCUGCGUGCGAUUUGUCAUCUCCACGUUGACACAUCGUAAUACUCAUCAGCUGAUCGUCAAGUUAGCUCACAGUACACCUACAGUCCAAGCAGGUUGUUCAACGAUUUUCGCGUCGUGGGACGUACUUUCUCACAGGUCGGCACUUGUUCGUGACAUCUCACUUGAAUUCGACUGGAGUUCUGAGCGCGCAUCACAUCUUCGUCUCCUGUAACUUGCGCGACUCUUCAGG